GACGACCAUACCAUGCUGAAUAUACCAGUUCUCGUUAGACCACCCGAAGUCAAUCAUCAUUGGGCGCGGUCAGUACUUGGGUGUUGUGACCACCUGGGGACACCGCGUGCCGUU